GAUGAACGCUGGCGGCGUGCCUCAAACAUGCAAGUCGAGCGGGGCUAUGUAAUAUCGCAAGGUAGAACAUAGCCUAGCGGCGAACGGGUGAGUAACACGUGGGUAACCUGCCUGGAAGACAGGGAUAACGAUUCGAAAGGGUCGCUAAUACCUGAUAAUAUCCUUUCAUCGCAUGGUGAUAGGAAGAAAGGGGAAACCCGCUUUCAGAUGGGCCCGCGUCCCAUCAGCUAGUUGGUAAGGUAAAGGCUUACCAAGGCGACGACGGGUAGCCGGUCUGAGAGGAUGUACGGCCACACUGGGACUGAGAUACGGCCCAGACUCCUACGGGAGGCAGCAGUUGGGAAUCUUAGGCAAUGGACGAAAGUCUGACCUAGCGACGCCGCGUGAGGGAAGAAGGCCUUCGGGUUGUAAACUUCUUUACUAUGCGACUAACUAGAUUUACGAGAUAAUUCUAUAGAAUGUAGCAUAGCAAAAAGCACCGGCUAACUCCGUG
rnacentral:rRNA from 1 species